rnacentral:rRNA from 1 species
GACGAACGCUGGCGGCGUGCUUAACACAUGCAAGUCGAACGGUAAGGCCCCAGCUUGCUGGGGUACACGAGUGGCGAACGGGUGAGUAACACGUGGGUGACCUGCCCCGCACUUCGGGAUAAGCCUGGGAAACUGGGUCUAAUACCGGAUAGGACCGCACCGUGAGGGUGUGGUGGAAAGUUUUUCGGUGGGGGAUGGGCCCGCGGCCUAUCAGCUUGUUGGUGGGGUAAUGGCCUACCAAGGCGGCGACGGGUAGCCGGCCUGAGAGGGUGGACGGCCACAUUGGGACUGAGACACGGCCCAGACUCCUACGGGAGGCAGCAGUGGGGAAUAUUGCACAAUGGGCGGAAGCCUGAUGCAGCGACGCCGCGUGGGGGAUGACGGCCUUCGGGUUGUAAACUCCUUUCACCAUCGACGAAGGUUUUCUGACGGUAGAUGGAGAAGAAGCACCGGCUAACUACGUG